rnacentral:piRNA from 1 species
UGCAUACAACGUUGCCGUAUG